rnacentral:rRNA from 1 species
GACGAACGCUGGCGGCGUGCCUAAUACAUGCAAGUAGAACGCUGAAGGAGGAGCUUGCUCUUCUGGAUGAGUUGCGAACGGGUGAGUAACGCGUAGGUAACCUGCCUGGUAGCGGGGGAUAACUAUUGGAAACGAUAGCUAAUACCGCAUAAUAGUAGAUGUUGCAUGACAUUUGCUUAAAAGGUGCAAUUGCAUCACUACCAGAUGGACCUGCGUUGUAUUAGCUAGUUGGUGAGGUAACGGCUCACCAAGGCAACGAUACAUAGCCGACCUGAGAGGGUGAUCGGCCACACUGGGACUGAGACACGGCCCAGACUCCUACGGGAGGCAGCAGUAGGGAAUCUUCGGCAAUGGACGGAAGUCUGACCGAGCAACGCCGCGUGAGUGAAGAAGGUUUUCGGAUCGUAAAGCUCUGUUGUAAGAGAAGAACGAGUGUGAGAAGUGGAAAGUUCACAACUG